rnacentral:rRNA from 1 species
GAUGAACGCUGGCGGCGUGCCUAAUACAUGCAAGUCGAGCGAACAGACGAGGAGCUUGCUCCUCUGACGUUAGCGGCGGACGGGUGAGUAACACGUGGAUAACCUACCUAUAAGACUGGGAUAACUUCGGGAAACCGGAGCUAAUACCGGAUAAUAUAUUGAACCGCAUGGUUCAAUAGUGAAAGACGGUUUUGCUGUCACUUAUAGAUGGAUCCGCGCCGCAUUAGCUAGUUGGUAAGGUAACGGCUUACCAAGGCAACGAUGCGUAGCCGACCUGAGAGGGUGAUCGGCCACAGUGGAACUGAGACACGGUCCAGGCUCCUACGGGAGGCAGCAGUAGGGAAUCGUCCGCAAUGGGCGAAAGCCCGAAGGAGCAACGCCGCGUGGGUGAUGAAAGUCUUCGGAUCGUAAAACGCUGUUAUUAGGGAAGAACAAAUGUGUAAGUAACUAUGCACGUCUUGACGGUACCUAAUCAGAAAGCAACGGCUAACUACGUG